GAGGUCGUAGCGCAGAGGUAGUCGCGCCUUGACGGCACGUAGGAGGACGCCGGUUCGAAUCCGGUCGGCUUCGCCA
rnacentral:tRNA from 1 species